CCGUGAUUUGCGCGGCCAUAAUCUUAGUUAAAUUGGGAGUCCCUAUGCUUGCUUCUUUCUUUUUUUUUCCAUGAAGAGGGCCUCAUUAUGGCUCGAGACCCCUUGCUCCUUUUUUCUGCCUUCCUCGUUAAGCAUACAAUCUUUCACCAUUGCCAAGACUAUCGAACCCUCCAGUAAAAAAUUACUUAGAGACACCAUCAG
rnacentral:lncRNA from 1 species